rnacentral:sRNA from 1 species
GAUAAAAGAAACUUAGGUCUAAAAACAAUAUAUAAAACCCUAAAAACGUCCAGAGACUAAUAAUGCAAAUAGGGAAGUCUGCUGGGGCAAAUUUCCUCUUCUGUAAACUUGAAAGCGUCGUGGACUUCUGCUGGGCCGAAACUGGUGUCGAUCGACACAAAGAGUGUGUCGAUCGACACUCCUCGCUGAUUCCUGAACCAAAAUCGUCCUUAGCUUUUGCUCUAAAAUGUCUCCUUAUCUCUAUUGUUAUCCCAUUGCAUAGAAUACCUGAAAAGACACUAAAAAGACUCGAGAAAUAACAUAAAGGCUUAAAAUCCUAUACCUAAAACAUAGAUAAAAUCAGUGAAAAUCGGGUUAUAUCAACUCCCCCAGACUUAGCUUUUGCUUGCCCUCAAGCAUAACACAAAAGCCGAACCCUUGGAAGAGGUUUUGAAAACAAAGGAACUGCCAACAUUCUCUAGCCUAUUGCCAUGAUCAUUCAAACUAAGUCCAUAUGCCUAAUAAGUCUAAUCAAAUCCUAACCAACAUGUACUUCUCUACAAGCUUACACAACAUUCUAGAUUCCAUACCUAAGUUCCAGAACUAUAUCCACCAGGCUUUCAUAGCUGGGUCUCAUCAAACAAGCUGACAUUCAAGACCAUUCUUUAUAUAUUUGUUUUUCUUUUU